GACUAGAGUUUGAUCCUGGCUCAGGAUGAACGCUGGCGGCGUGCCUAAUACAUGCAAGUCGAACGGAAGGUAGCAAUACCUUUAGUGGCGAACGGGUGAGUAACGCGUUGGUGACCUGCCCCGAAGCGUGGGAUAACAGUCCGAAAGGAUUGCUAAUACCGCAUGUGGUCCAAGAGACUAGAGGCUUAUGGACUAAAGGAGACAUUCACUUCGGGAGGGGCCUGCGUCCCAUCAGCUAGUUGGUAGGGUAACGGCCUACCAAGGCGAUGACGGGUAGGGGACCUGAGAGGGUGGCCCCCCACAAUGGAACUGAAACACGGUCCAUACACCUACGGGUGGCAGCAGUAGGGAAUAUUGCAAAAUGGGCGCAAGCCCGAUGCAGCAACGCCGCGUGGGCGAUGAAGGCCUUCGGGUCGUAAAGCCCUUUUUGAGGGGAUGAGGAAGGACAGUACCCUCAGAAUAAGCCUCGGCUAACUAC
rnacentral:rRNA from 1 species